rnacentral:rRNA from 1 species
GACGAACGCUGGCGGCGUGCUUAACACAUGCAAGUCGAACGGAAAGGCCCUGCUUUUGUGGGGUGCUCGAGUGGCGAACGGGUGAGUAACACGUGAGUAACCUGCCCUUGACUUUGGGAUAACUUCAGGAAACUGGGGCUAAUACCGGAUAGGAGCUCCUGCUGCAUGGUGGGGGUUGGAAAGUUUCGGCGGGUGGGGAUGGACUCGCGGCUUAUCGGCUUGUUGGUGGGGUAGUGGCUUACCAAGGCUUUGACGGGUAGCCGGCCUGCGAGGGUGACCGGCCACAUUGGGACUGAGCUACGGACCAGACUCCUACGGGAGGCAGCAGUGGCGAAUAUUGCACAAUGGGCGGAAGCCUGAUGCAGCAACGCCGCGUGCGGGAUGACUGCCUUCGGGUUGUAGACCGCUUUCGCCUGUGACGAAGCGUGAGUGCCGGUCAUGGGUAAAGAAGCACCGGCUAACUACGUG